AUGGAGCCUCUCAAGCAUUUGACUUGUGUGAGGGAAGAAAAUGGCAACCGUGGGCGCGAGUUUGUGAAAUGUUUGAGCAAGCCACAGCCGGGGCAGGUUCUGAAGAAAUGUGGGCAUUUUGAGUGGCUCGAUGAAUAUGUUGAAAGGUUGAAAUUGGAGGGAUCAACCCCAACCCAAGAGCUCAAUUUUGGGGGGCGGCUUGCCGUGGAACAAGCCCCCAAUUUGGCGGACAGAGCCGAUCCGAUGAUGCACAAUGCAGAACUGAAGUGUGAAUUGAAGAAAAUCGGCAAGCAACUAAAGCAUCUGAUCAAUUUGUAG
rnacentral:rRNA from 1 species